GGCGAAACUGCGGGUUGCGGGGCAGUCGAUUGUGGAAGCUUGUUGCGUGAAGAUGCAUAAAUUGACGUUUCUGAUACGUAUCCUGUCAAUUACGUAUUACAGAUUUGUACUGCUAUCCCGUUACCUUCAUAUGCUACUACGAGGCAUCAGAUUGGCACGAAAGGAAUAUAAAUUCGAAAUAUGGACGAAAUAUGCAACGAAAUAUAGAACGACAUAUCGACGAAAUAUAACAUAGACGAAAAUAUGGCGAUUCUCGAUUAAUUUGAUGGCUUCCGGUGAUUUGUAAAUGUGUUGAAUUUUGCUGCAUUUCCCGCACAAUUUUUUACCGUGGCAAUAUCGGACUUCCUCGAUCUUAUGAAAAUCAGGUUUCUUCCAGCCUUCAUUUGUUCCAUCGAAAUCGACGAUCCCGAAUUGAUGAUUCCGGUUUGAUCACGACUUCCUUCAGGAUACAAUUCUUCGCAUUUAAUGCGGUACCAAUUAAGAGAUCUCACCACGAGGAGGUGACUACGCACGAGAUUCGCCCACGCGUUCUUUAUCACUGCACAUCAAUCCCGACAUUGAACCUAUUGGCCAGAAUGUCGAGUUCUGACUCUACUUAACCAUGGGCCUGCCGGGGAGGAACCGCUGAAUAGAAUUACGAAUGCACGGCCCCAACUGACCGAGUGGCGUCCACCCCCGUGACAGUCGAAGAGAAUUACGGAGGGCGUGAAAUUGCAGGUUCCUGUCCGAAUACUCAAAUACCAAUCGGAUAGUACUGCAGAUCCAUGACUGAAUCCUCAACAGAUUUGAAAGCAUCGCUGCCGCGGCGACAACUCCCGGAAUCCCGCGCAAACAUCUAGCAGUUACCAGAACAGACGUGUUCUUGGGGCGACUUACGAAUUGAAUGCGCUAUGCAGUUCACUUUGACCUGCAUGUACCCGGGAUUUGCGCGAGCGACCAUGCCAUGUGAUCAUAUGUUUAAAUCAUUGAUUUAAAAGUUAGGAAUUGAUGGUAUUGUAUUAGAUUAAUUAUCAGGAUAAUUAAUUUAUUAUUUUAAUUUUUUAGAUUUUUAAAUUUUGCAAUCCAUCAGAAUAUUGUAUAACCAUUAAUAAAUUUUCACAAUUAAAUUCCAAGUUUAUAAAACGUAGCACAUUCAAUCGAUCACAUAAUGGAAACGUAGCGAGUACCCUUUUCAGAUAAUUACAAUCGUCGCGACGUAUCGUUAUUAAUUGUUGAGAGUAUUUUUCAACAUCGGUAUUUCAGAACACGUGACAGAGAAGCCCCGUAGAAUAUCACGUCUAGUCGCGUUUUUAUAAUAGUGAAUGUGUGAAAUAUAAAUACAUUUACGAAUUACCAUCUUAUAGAGAACUAUUGUAUAAAUGUAAUUUAAUUUUAGGUUUAACUCGAUCUUUACUUUCAGUUUUAAGCUUUCGGUUCGGUCGUUCUUGAAGCUGUUUUUGUUGUUUGUUGUCCAUAAUGCUCAGAGAGCUAAUAUUUUUCAAAUGAAUGGCACAAAAAAAUUUGUCCGAAUUCUUUUAUACAAAAUUAGUAAUUUCUCGGUAUGGCGGAGUGAUGAUGGUACCGUGGAAGAGAAGGUCGCUAUUCAGAGUGCUUUACCCAGUAAACUUGGUGGUUUUCUUACCAUAUUUAUAUUGUUCUCGACGUUACUGAUUUAGCAUGACGUAGGUUUAGGACGUUAGCAGUAUUUGGUAUUACAGUUGACUCAUCUUCAUUCGGAUGCCUUUAAUUAAUUUUCACUAGGGGUAUCUGUAAUAAAUUCGUCUGGAAUAAAACUUAAAUAAAACAGAACAUUUAAAAUCUUGUUUGUGCCUUCAUAUAU